CUUGUCUUCCACAUUCUCCCUGAGAUUCUCCUUCUCUCUCUCUCUCUAUCCUGUCAUUAUUCGUCACGUUUCCCCCCUAAUAUCACCCUCGAAGUUUUAGAGUUAUGGGAAGAGUGUUCUUGGUCGAAGAAGACGGACCAGUCUAUACAUGCGCUACAUGCAAUGUUCAAAUCGCAAAAAGUGAAGAUCUCUUGGAAGCAACAUGGCUCGACUUAUAUCAGUUUUACCUUGUGUACAAUGUCAUGAUUGCAGAAGUACCAGUUCUUUACGACCUCUAUCGCUUCUGCGGCCAUGAGGUCUCGUGCGUCAAUUGCUGCGCACUUCUCGGGUGGAGAGAUCCAGCACCGCCGCCAGAUCAAUCACCAGGGGAAGAGUUCAACCCUGCAUUCCUCUUUGAGCAUGCCCGUGUUAAUGCUCCACCACCACCACCACCGGAUAAUCUACCACAAGAUUGAGGUCUUGAGUUUCUUGGACUGCAAGGGAGCAUCGAUGAGAUUUUUUUAGGAGAUAUUUGGCAUUAUUGUCAUGUACACAGAUAUAUAUAUAUAUAUAUACUUUCCCUUCAGGCUUCAGUGCAUCUUGUGCUUAGACGGUAGCGAGACAAGUUACUCUUCUUUGGGAGCUACAAGUUCCUCAUUUUCAUGUUCUCUUCUGUGUUUACAAACGAGAGAUAUCUGUGUUUUUCUGUUGAUGUAAAGAGAUUUUUAUGGUUU